GGUCUCCUCUCUGGAUCCCCAGGCCGAAGCCUUGCUCGAUCAGGCUGGCUGGCGAGUGCCUCCGCUUGAGAGGCCGGGGGACCUGAUUCCUGCCCGGAGCGAGUGGUCCCCAACCCGCGGGAAAGUCCUCGGGAGCGCGCGGUCACCUGCUCUCUGGUCGCUGCACCGGGACAAGGGCUCUCGUGGACAGAGGGCCUUUGGCGUGGACACGCCCACUGUCCCCGGGCAGGCUUGCAGUCAGCAUUCUGGACUUUGCCAGGGAAGACUCGGGCAUCUACUCAGUGCGAAGGGGAGCGCGACGGGGAUUCCCAGUCUGCCUCUCCAAACCUGUCUUGGGCCCACCCGCAAUCACACAGGCACUGGGGAGGACCCACUGGAGCUGGAGGAAAGGGCUGUGUCUGCUGAUUAAUCCUGGAGGACUGCCUCUGCAGGCCACCAGGCUAAGCAAGGAGGGUGGGCACCGCUCACUUAUUCCCCAGACACUUAAUAAGGGACAGUCAUGAGCAACGCUCUGGAGAGGAGCAUGGUGAAGCCCUGCUACCCACUAAAACUGAUUUAAUUUUCCCCGGGAUGACUGGCCUCGGGUCCCAGGCCUUUCUGGGGUAUCAGGAUCUUGGACUUGGCUCUUCCCACAACUGAAGUUCCCUGUUUUCCCAGUUUUUAUUCUAUGAACCCUGCGAUCUGCCAGUGUCACACAUUGUGCUGGGCCCCGGCAGAUGAAGGCCCCCAGGCUUGUCCCAAUGGCAUGUGACACGGUGAGCAUCGGAGGGAACUCCAGAAGAGGCCUCCCUGGAGGCUGGCAGAGCACUGAUUCUGAGUCCUGUGUGGCUUCUCCACGAAGGCACCCUGGACCACUGGACCACGCUUCUGCAGACACCGGAAGAAACCGGUUUUCUAGCUGACAGCUAUUCAUCACAGUCACUGUGUGUCACGGAUGUAACAUUUCGAGUCUGUAACAUCCAGAGAUAGACAAUGGAGAACUAUCCAGCCUCCACUGCAAAUUCAUUCUUAAUCCGAUGAAAAAUGUAUCGGGAAACAAACACCUCAGUCCUUGGUUUUGGAAUUCAGCUCCCGAGGAGAAUAGUGCGGUGACAUGCGGGAGAAAUGAUCACAUCCUUGACAACGGAUUUCCAAUCACAAUCACCUGAUUUGCAGUAGAAAAAAUGUUGCCCUUACCAUUUUACUAUAAAAUGUGGCUGCUGAGUGAUUGUGAUUUAAAAACAGACCCGAUCCCCUGGAAAAAAACAGAGCGUCCCUGGGUGGGCUCGAACCACCAACCUUUCGGUUAACAGCCGAACGCGCUAACCGAUUGCGCCACAGAGACCGCGGUGACUGCUGGGGUGGCAGACAGCCGAGUCAAUGGGAGCGAGGCCAGCAUGGCUCGGGGUAGGGACUGUGCAGCUUCGAAACCGGGCGAAAGAAAUCAGACUAAGCACAGGACCCGGGCGCGGGCUGCAAGGAGUCUGCGCCCCCUAUCCUCAGGAUGCAUCCUGGAUGUGGAGAGGCGGGAACGUUUUGUAGG
ensembl:lncRNA